rnacentral:rRNA from 1 species
AGGACGAACGCUGGCGGCGUGCUUAACACAUGCAAGUCGAACGAUGAAGCCAGCUUGCUGGUGGAUUAGUGGCGAACGGGUGAGUAACACGUGGGCAACCUGCCCCUAGCUCUGGGAUAAGCCCGGGAAACCGGGUCUAAUACUGGAUAUGAGACUGGAUCGCAUGGUCUGGUUUGGAAAGUUUUUCGGCUAGGGAUGGGCCCGCGGCCUAUCAGCUUGUUGGUGGGGUAAUGGCCUACCAAGGCGACGACGGGUAGCCGGCCUGAGAGGGCGACCGGCCACACUGGGACUGAGACACGGCCCAGACUCCUACGGGAGGCAGCAGUGGGGAAUAUUGCACAAUGGGCGAAAGCCUGAUGCAGCGACGCCGCGUGAGGGAUGACGGCCUUCGGGUUGUAAACCUCUUUCAGUAGGGACGAAGCGAGAGUGACGGUACCUACAGAAGAAGCACCGGCCAACUACGUGCUAGCAGCCGCGGUAA